rnacentral:lncRNA from 1 species
CGGAUCUUAUGGUCAUCGCCUCUUAAGUUCCACUAUUGUUCUUCCAGUGGUUUUUGUUCCUUUUCCAAAUUCACCUCCUGUGAAUAAGAAUUUGGAGCAUGUUCUUAAAAGAUUACCCCUAUAACAUCUGCAAGGCAUGCUAUCUUAUGAGGAACUAAAAAGCACUAAGCUAUCUUAUGAGGAACUAAAAAGCACUAAGCGAGUCUUUCUGAACUCGAAAAUGUGCCUAGUCAUAUGUUGGGAAAAAUGCUAUAUGUUGUCACAG